ACGUAGGGGGCAAGCGUUAUCCGGAUUUACUGGGUGUAAAGGGAGCGUAGACGGCUGUGCAAGUCUGAAGUGAAAGCCCGGGGCUCAACCCCGGUACUGCUUUGGAAACUGUACGGCUAGAGUGCUGGAGAGGUAAGUGGAAUUCCUAGUGUAGCGGUGAAAUGCGUAGAUAUUAGGAGGAACACCAGUGGCGAAGGCGGCUUACUGGACAGUAACUGACGUUGAGGCUCGAAAGCGUGGGGAGCAAACAG
rnacentral:rRNA from 1 species